GUACCCCGAGGAAAAGAAAUCAACCGAGAUUCCGAAAGUAGCGGCGAGCGAAAUUGGACUAGCCCUUAAGCUUUACACGUGUUAGACGAACGGUCUGGAAAGUCCGACGAUACAGGGUGAUAGUCCCGUAGUUGACGACGUGUGUUCAGUGAAAUCGAGUAGGGCGGGACACGUGAUAUCCUGUCUGAAUAUGGGGGGACCAUCCUCCAAGGCUAAAUACUACUGACUGACCGAUAGUGAACCAGUACCGUGAGGGAAAGGCGAAAAGAACCCCUGUGAGGGGAGUGAAAUAGAACCUGAAACCGUGUACGUACAAGCAGUAGGAGCAGGCUUUGUCCUGUGACUGCGUACCUUUUGUAUAAUGGGUCAGCGACUUAUAUUCAGUGGCAAGGUUAACCAUCUAGGGGAGCCGUAGGGAAACCGAGUCUUAACUGGGCGUUCAGUCUCUGGAUAUAGACCCGAAACCAGGUGAUCUAGCCAUGGGCAGGUUGAAGGUUGAGUAACAUCAACUGGAGGACCGAACCGACUAAUGUUGAAAAAUUAGCGGAUGACUUGUGGCUAGGGGUGAAAGGCCAAUCAAACCUGGAGAUAGCUGGUUCUCCCCGAAAGCUAUUUAGGUAGCGCCUCGGACGAAUACUACUGGGGGUAGAGCACUGUUAAGGCUAGGGGGUCAUCCCGACUUACCAACCCUUUGCAAACUCCGAAUACCAGUAAGUACUAUCCGGGAGACACACGGCGGGUGCUAACGUCCGUCGUGGAGAGGGAAACAACCCAGACCGCCAGCUAAGGUCCCAAAUUACUACUAAGUGGGAAACGAUGUGGGAAGGCUCAGACAGCCAGGAUGUUGGCUUAGAAGCAGCCAUCAUUUAAAGAAAGCGUAAUAGCUCACUGGUCGAGUCGGCCUGCGCGGAAGAUGUAACGGGGCUAAGUAGUAAACCGAAGCUGCGGCAAUGUGCUUUUGCACAUUGGGUAGGGGAGCGUUCUGUAAGCGGUUGAAGGUGUGUGGUAACGCAUGCUGGACGUAUCAGAAGUGCGAAUGCUGACAUGAGUAACGAUAAAGGGGGUGAAAAACCUCCUCGCCGGAAGACCAAGGGUUCCUGUCCAACGUUAAUCGGGGCAGGGUAAGUCGACCCCUAAGGCGAGGCCGAAAGGCGUAGUCGAUGGGAAACGGGUUAAUAUUCCCGUACUUCUUACAAUUGCGAUGGGGGGACGGAGAAGGCUAGGUGGGCCUGGCGACGGUUGUCCAGGUUCAAGUGCGUAGGCUUAAGAGUUAGGUAAAUCCGGCUCUUUUUAAGGCUGAGACACGACGUCGAGCAUCUACGGAUGUGAAGUCAUUGAUGCCAUGCUUCCAGGAAAAGCCUCUAAGCUUCAGAUUGUAAGGAAUCGUACCCCAAACCGACACAGGUGGUCGGGUAGAGAAUACCAAGGCGCUUGAGAGAACUCGGGUGAAGGAACUAGGCAAAAUGGUACCGUAACUUCGGGAGAAGGUACGCUCUCGACGGUGAAGUCCCUCGCGGAUGGAGCUAUUGAGAGUCGCAGAUACCAGGUGGCUGCAACUGUUUAUUAAAAACACAGCACUGUGCAAAAUCGUAAGAUGACGUAUACGGUGUGACGCCUGCCCGGUGCCGGAAGGUUAAUUGAUGGGGUUAGACUUCGGUCGAAGCUCUUGAUCGAAGCCCCGGUAAACGGCGGCCGUAACUAUAACGGUCCUAAGGUAGCGAAAUUCCUUGUCGGGUAAGUUCCGACCUGCACGAAUGGCGUAAUGAUGGCCACGCUGUCUCCACCCGAGACUCAGUGAAAUUGAAAUCGCUGUGAAGAUGCAGUGUACCCGCGGCUAGACGGAAAGACCCCGUGAACCUUUACUACAGCUUGGCACUGAACAUUGACCCUACAUGUGUAGGAUAGGUGGGAGGCUUUGAAGCACGUACGCCAGUAUGUGUGGAGCCGUCCUUGAAAUACCACCCUUGUAGUGUUGAUGUUCUAACGUCGACCCCUUAUCGGGGUUGCGGACAGUGCCUGGUGGGUAGUUUGACUGGGGCGGUCUCCUCCCAAAGAGUAACGGAGGAGCACGAAGGUGGGCUAAUCACGGUUGGACAUCGUGAGGUUAGUGCAAUGGCAUAAGCCCGCUUGACUGCGAGAAUGACAAUUCGAGCAGGUGCGAAAGCAGGUCAUAGUGAUCCGGUGGUUCUGAAUGGAAGGGCCAUCGCUCAACGGAUAAAAGGUACUCCGGGGAUAACAGGCUGAUACCGCCCAAGAGUUCAUAUCGACGGCGGUGUUUGGCACCUCGAUGUCGGCUCAUCACAUCCUGGGGCUGAAGUCGGUCCCAAGGGUAUGGCUGUUCGCCAUUUAAAGUGGUACGCGAGCUGGGUUUAGAACGUCGUGAGACAGUUCGGUCCCUAUCUGCCGUGGGCGUUGGAAGAUUGAAGGGGGCUGCUCCUAGUACGAGAGGACCGGAGUGGACGAACCUCUGGUGUUCGGGUUGUGUCGCCAGACGCAUUGCCCGGUAGCUAAGUUCGGAAUCGAUAACCGCUGAAAGCAUCUAAGCGGGAAGCGAGCCCUGAGAUGAGUCUUCCCUGAUACUUUAAGUAUCCUAAAGGGUUGUCGGAGACUACGACGUUGAUAGGUCAGGUGUGUAAGUGCUGUGAGGCAUUGAGCUAACUGAUACUAAUUGCCCGUGAGGCUUAACCAUACAACACCCAAGGGGUUU
rnacentral:rRNA from 1 species